CGGGAAGCCUGAAUCGUGCGCCUCAUGCUGAUCCCAUUCUCUGACAGCCCUGUCACAGGGGAUCAAGAAGAAGGAUCCUUUAAAAUCCUGGAAACUGAGAAACUGCAGUAUGUGCAACUAAAAACAGAAAGCUACAGCUAAGGUUCUGCUGCUGUUAGUUGACUUACCCCAUAUGUACUGAGGAUUUACUUGAGCUGUAGCUCUCCAAGCACUUAACAAUCAAGGUGGAAAUAUUUUAAAGUCCACUCCUUUGAUCCUGUUGUAGCAUUAAACCAUUUCCAAGCAGUUUCAGUAGAUUGGGUUCUUCAGCUUAUUCCUCUUAUCCUGCUCCUGAAAAUCCCUUUAAUGUGAAACUUAAAGAAAAAAUCGUUGCAAUACACUUAAAGUGAAAGACAAGAUGGGUUGUCACAGCCUUAAAAUAUCCACCUGAUGAGGUGGAGACACUGAUGAAGGACAGCAUUCACUGCUAAAGACAGAGGGGGCAGCCAGCUAUUACUUUGAUACUAUUGUUUUUGUGUUAUCAUAGUCUGAAAGCUCUGAUAAGAGCCAGAGUGCCUGUCUGAACUGUACCUUAGUGCUUGUUAUAUUGAUUGCUGGACCUCAAACCAGCCUUCCUAUGAAAUGGCCAUUCAUCACUUCGGAGUAAACUAACAUAUCCCUAGCUGCAGCUCUAUGCCUGAUGUGUGGUAAGGGUCUUUUUUAGAUAAAGAAACAAUGUGUAAGAUGAAACUAGAAGUAAGAGCUGUGAUUUAUAUUUUGGCUUUUCUUUGUGCGAGAGAUUCAAUACAUGAUAUCUAGAGGUCAUCUUGUUCACUAUCUACUCGGUGUCGAUUGUGCUUCCCAGACUACAUUGAAACAAACUCCCCUGCAAAUCCACUCAGCUAGUUUAUUCCUCUAUAGACAAGGAGAAAAGUUGCCAUUGUUACAUUUUUGUGAAUUAGUGUGAUAAGUACUUUAGCUGCAUUGGUCCCAGGUCAGAAGGAGAACUCUGUGCAGCUCAACAGCUUGUCUCUUCCACCAGAAAAAAAUUAUCAUAUAAAAGACAUUCCCUUACUCACCUUGUCUGUUUGAUAGAAAAAAGAAUCUCUCUUACCCCUUAACUAAAAUUGUGCAAAAUGCAAAGGCUGUGUGUUGUGUCUCUGUUUCAAAUCUCACUGAAAAUGCACUCACUAUUACAGAGGCAG